rnacentral:lncRNA from 1 species
GUUGGAAAUCUGCGGAAAAUCGCCUUGAACCAGAGCGUUUUCGGCAAAAUGGGGCGUGUGGAAUGAGGUAUGAUGUGGGUGCUUUUCACUCGUUAAUCGUUUGAAGCGAGAUCUCUUCCUCCUCAUCCUCAAUGGAUCCUCGAUAGAGUUUCAGCCGUUGGCCAUUGACUUUAAAUGGAAUCCCAUUUCGAGCUUUAAUUUCUACUGCACCUUGAGGAAAAACAUGGGUGAUGGA